rnacentral:rRNA from 1 species
CCUACGGGCGGCAGCAGUGAGGAAUCUUGGUCAAUGGUCGUAAUCCUGAACCAGCCAAGCCGCGUGCAGGAAGACGGCCCUAUGGGUUGUAAACCUCUUUUAUCGGGGGACAAAACCCGUGACGUGUCCCGUCCUGCAUGUAUCGGAUGAAAAAGCAUCGGCUAACUCCGUGCCAGCAGCCGCGGUAAUACGGGGGGUCCGAGCGUUAUCCGGAUUUAUUGGGUUUAAGGGGUGCGUAGGCGGUCGGUUAGGUUUGCGGUAAAAUUGCGGGGCUCAACCACGUCGGGCCGUUGCAACUGGCAGACUUGAGUUGGCGAGACGUACGCGGAAUGCGCGGUGUAGCGGUGAAAUGCAUAGAUAUCGCGAAGAACUCCGAUUGCGAAGGCAGCGUACGGGAGCCAGACUGACGCUGAGGCACGAAAGCGUGGGGAUCGAACAGGAUUAGAUACCCUGGUAGUC